rnacentral:rRNA from 1 species
GGGGAAUAUUGCGCAAUGGGGGGAACCCUGACGCAGCAACGCCGCGUGGAGGAAGAAGGUCUUCGGAUUGUAAACUCCUGUCUUCUGGGACGAUAAUGACGGUACCAGAGGAGGAAGCCACGGCUAACUACGUGCCAGCAGCCGCGGUAAUACGUAGGUGGCGAGCGUUGUCCGGAAUUACUGGGCGUAAAGGGCGCGUAGGCGGUUUUUUAAGUCAGAUGUGAAAACCCAGGGCUUAACUCUGGGCGUGCAUUUGAAACUGGGGGACUAGAGUGCAGGAGAGGUAAGUGGAAUUCCUAGUGUAGCGGUGAAAUGCGUAGAUAUUAGGAGGAACACCAGUGGCGAAGGCGACUUACUGGACUGUAACUGACGCUGAGGCGCGAAAGCGUGGGGAGCAAAC